GAGGGGGAGGGAGAGAAAGACAGAACAAAAAAUGGGAGAGUGUCAGACAACCAGAUUGAUUUAACAGAUCUGAGAGCAACUCCACACCUAAAGUCAUUACACAUGGCCCCAGCCGAGAGACUUCUCCCUCUCCACUGUCCAGAGCACACUGCCGGAAGAGCAGCGAGGCAUCUAGCUCAUUCUUUCCAAUUUGUCACCAGCCAGCGCUGAGGGGGACAAACUAGCCAGGCGCGUCAACAUCACAUCCCAUGAUUCAGCCCAAGCAGAAUCCAGCAGGCAGGGAGGCAGACAGGGAGGCGGGAAGGCAGUUACGAAAGUAAGCAAGGAGCAGCUUGUUGGGCUGGCGUGCACCAGUGGAGAUUAUAAAAGUAUAGGCAGAGCCGUAUGGCCAACCAACACACCCACCAGCUGUCCCCGUCUGACACGCAGGUGUGCAGACUCUGUGGAGGCUGCUACUUUAAAUAAUUCUUCACCACCAGGAAGUCAGGAGGCAGGGUAGGAAGGAUGCUCCAACAGCACAGGCGAUGAUUACCUGUCCAAAGCCACCCACUCUGUGGAGCUAAUAGGCUAAUACCCUCCCCAAUGAUUUCCUGCAGGCAACUGACCUUGGGGAUAAACACGAGUGAUAAAGAUCAUUGUGAUAAGGAGGAAAACCCAAUUACAAAAAAUCAUAUUUGUGUGCACAAAUUACCUUGCAAGAUGGUCUCUAAUGAAUUAGUGAACUAGCAUGCUUGAGAAAAAUACUCUGAGCAUUUGGAACAGCAGUCAGGGCUACUGCCUGCAUAUGAUCAAUAACGCCUUCAUCUAUCUGGCUGGACGGGCUGAGGAUGAGACUAGUGAGCCAAGGCAAUGCAUGGUGGAGUGCGCUUAAGGUAGUUUGCUCAAAAAAAAAAAAAAGUUGCCCUGUGCCUUUGCAGGUAAUGUUUUGGGCAAAAACAAGAUGGAUCAGCAGUGGACAAACAUUUUUCUAAGUUUUCCUGCUCCAGUGGUUUAGCGAUAAAAUCUUACAGUAUUGCUGGCCUUAAUCGUUGCUCAACAAGUCGACUAGUGUAUAAUCACUCUUUGGGUUGCUGGGCUUGACUAAUCGAGCUGUGGCAGCAGUGAUGGUGGUUGAACUACUAUUCGUCUUGUCUGGGCUAUGGGGGUAGGGCAGGGUUCUAAAUUAACUCACGGCAACCGGCCAAUUGCGGGUGAAAAAUCAGUUUGGCAGGUAGAAAAGAAAACUUACCCAUCACUUUGACUAGCAGUGAGUAUGCAAUGGCUAGUAAGAUUACGUUAUGCUAGCUGGCCAAAUUGUCUAGUGAUGAAACACAAGUGAAUUCAUAGUGCUGGGAGGGGUGAUUACAGAGCUGAGGCAGGGAUGGUGAUUGCAGUGCGUGGGCACAAUGGCCAAGUUGAUGGCACCGCUAGUAUGUACUGUACGUGUGGGUGCACUUUGUCUAGUUUGAGUUGCAGCCAUGACUGCGGGAGAUGGGAAAGGAGUUGAGCGAGGCAAAUUCAGCGUUCCAUUCUGACAGCUCAACGGUCAAGUGUCCACACCUUCCGGUUGCACUGCCGCGCGCCCACAUUCCCUCAACUGCUGGUGUAAACUGGAGUGUGGGAGGAUGUCUAGUGUGAGCUGUAGCAGUGGGUCCAACUCAAUGUCUAACAUCCCGUCUUCUCCUUGCGCUCAUGGCCUUCCGAUUUGAGGCUAGACUUCAUUGACUAUAAUUUCAUAGUCUAGUAUAGUUUUAUUUAAUGUCUCGCACAACCACAAUUCAAAGGUCAUUCCAAUUUGCAAUUGGAAUGUUGAACAGGGAAAAGUACCCCAAAAGUUAUUGUGCCUCGGCUGAUGGAGACAUUUCUCAAUGGAAAGAGGGCGUCACCGAAGCACAACCCCAUAAGCACAAGGUGAGGAUAUGAGGUUAAAUGAUAUGGACCAGUGAGUGGAUGCAAAGCCAAGUUGCCUUACCCGUUGGGGUCCUUCUCCACCAUUUUGAGGGACUCGAGGGACUGCAGCACUUUGCGAGCCACGUUCUUGGAGCCUUUGCUGAAGUGGGAU